UACGUAGGGGGCUAGCGUUGUCCGGAAUCAUUGGGCGUAAAGAGCGUGUAGGCGGUCCGGUAAGUCCGCUGUGAAAGUCGGGGGCUCAACCCUCGAAUGCCGGUGGAUACUGUCGGGCUAGAGUGCGGAAGAGGCGAGUGGAAUUCCUGGUGUAGCGGUGAAAUGCGCAGAUAUCAGGAGGAACACCUAUUGCGAAGGCAGGUCUCUGGGCCACUACUGACGCUGAGAAGCGAAAGCGUGGGGAGCGAACAGG
rnacentral:rRNA from 1 species